rnacentral:rRNA from 1 species
UACGUAGGGGGCGAGCGUUGUCCGGAUUUAUUGGGCGUAAAGAGCGUGUAGGCGGCCAGGUAGGUCUGCUGUGAAAACUCGAGGCUCAACCUCGAGACGUCGGCGGAAACCAUCUGGCUAGAGUCCGGAAGAGGAGAGUGGAAUUCCUGGUGUAGCGGUGAAAUGCGUAGAUAUCGGGAGGAAUACCAGUGGCGAAGGCGACUACCUGGCCUGUUCUUGACGCUGAGGCGCGAAAGCUAGGGGAGCAAACGGG